rnacentral:rRNA from 1 species
CCGCAUAAUACCGGGGAAGGACAUCCUUUUCCGGUCAAAGGAGCGAUCCGGUGACGGAUGGGCAUGCGCCGCAUUAGUUAGUUGGCGGUGUAACGGACCACCAAGACGACGAUGCGUAGGGGUUCUGAGAGGAAGGUCCCCCACACUGGUACUGAGACACGGACCAGACUCCUACGGGAGGCAGCAGUGAGGAAUAUUGGUCAAUGGGCGAGAGCCUGAACCAGCCAAGUCGCGUGAGGGAAGACGGUCCUAUGGAUUGUAAACCUCUUUUGCCGGGGAGCAAAAAGCGGUACGUGUACCGCAUCGAGAGUACCCGGAGAAAAAGCAUCGGCUAACUCCGUGCCAGCAGCCGCGGUAAUACGGAGGAUGCGAGCGUUAUCCGGAUUUAUUGGGUUUAAAGGGUGCGCAGGCGGCGAGUUAAGUCAGCGGUAAAAUUUCGGGGCUCAACCCCGACGAGCCGUUGAAACUGGCUUGCUAGAGUGGGCGAGAAGUAUGCGGAAUGCGUGGUGUAGCGGUGAAAUGCAUAGAUAUCACGCAGAACUCCGAUUGCGAAGGCAGCAUACCGGCGCCCAACUGACGCUCAGGCACGAAAGCGUGGGUAUCGAACAGGAUUAGAUACCCUGGUAGUCCACGCAGUAAACGAUGAGCACUAAUUGUCCGGUCCGAGUGAGGGCUGGGUGAUACAGCGAAAGCGUUAAGUGCUCCACCUGGGGAGUACGCCGGCAACGGUGAAACUCAAAGGAAUUGACGGGGGCCCGCACAAGCGGAGGAACAUGUGGUUUAAUUCGAUGAUACGCGAGGAACCUUACCCGGGCUCAAACGCGGCGUGAAUACUUUUGAAAGGAGGUAGUCAGCAAUGACACGCCGCGAGGUGCUGCAUGGUUGUCGUCAGCUCGUGCCGUGAGGUGUCGGCUUAAGUGCCAUAACGAGCGCAACCCCUACCGUCAGUUGCCAUCAGGUAAAGCUGGGGACUCUGACGGGACUGCCGGCGCAAGCUGUGAGGAAGGCGGGGAUGACGUCAAAUCAGCACGGCCCUUACGUCCGGGGCGACACACGUGUUACAAUGGCAGGUACAGCGGGAAGCCACCUGGCGACAGGGCGCGGAACCCGAAAACCUGUCUCAGUUCGGAUUGGAGUCUGCAACCCGACUCCAUGAAGCUGGAUUCGCUAGUAAUCGCGCAUCAGCCACGGCGCGGUGAAUACGUUCCCGGGCCU